UACGUAGGGUGCAAGCGUUGUCCGGAAUUAUUGGGCGUAAAGAGCUCGUAGGCGGUCUGUCGCGUCUGCUGUGAAAACCCGGGGCUCAACCCCGGGCUUGCAGUGGAUACGGGCAGACUAGAGUUCGGUAGGGGAGACUGGAAUUCCUGGUGUAGCGGUGAAAUGCGCAGAUAUCAGGAGGAACACCGGUGGCGAAGGCGACUAACUGGACAUGUAUUGACGCUGAGGUGCGAAAGCGUGGGGAGCAAACAGG
rnacentral:rRNA from 1 species